CAUGCGUACAUGUUUGUUUGUUUGUUUGUUUGUUUGUUUGUUUGUUUGUUUGUUUGUUUGUUUGUUUGUUUGUUUGUUUGUUUGUUUGUUUGUUUGUUUGUUUGUUUGUUUGUUUGUUUGUUUGUUUGUUUGUUUGUUUGUUUGUUCGUUUGUUCGUUUGUUCGUUUGUUCGUUUGUUCGUUUGUUCGUUUGUUCGUUUGUUCGUUUGUUCGUUUGUUCGUUUGUUUGUUUGUUUGUUUGUUUGUUUGUUUGUUUGUUUGUUUGUUUGUUUGUUUGUUUGUUUGUUU